AUGAAGAGGCUGCUGUGCUCUCUGCUGGGGCUGCUGUGCUCCCAGGUUUGCUGGGUGAAAGGGCAACAAGUGAAGCAAAGUCCUGUGUCCUUGGUUCUGCAGGAGGGAGAGAGGGCAGAGCUGCAGUGCAACUUUUCCAUAGGUGCAACCCAGAUGCAGUGGUUUCACCAAAGCCCCGGUGGACACCUCAUCAGCCUGUUUGUCAAUCCUUCUGGAACAAAGCAGAGGGGAAGACUGACAUCCACGACAGUAGCUAAAGAAUAUCGCAGCUCCUUGUACAUUUCCUCCUCCCAGACCACAGACUCAGGCACUUAUUUCUGUGCUGUGGAACCACAGUGA